rnacentral:tRNA from 1 species
GGAGAGGUGUCAGAGUGGUUGAUCGUGCCUGUCUCGAAAACAGGUGUCCCGCAAGGGAUCGAGGGUUCGAAUCCCUCCCUCUCCGCCA